UACGGGAGGCAGCAGUGGGGAAUAUUGCACAAUGGGCGAAAGCCUGAUGCAGCUAUGCCGCGUGUAUGAAGAAGGCCUUAGGGUUGUAAAGUACUUUCAUCGGGGAGGAAAAAACAAAACUAAUAAUUUUAUUUCUUGACGUUACCCGAAAAAGAAGCACCGGCUAACUCCGUGCCAGCAGCCGCGGUAAUACGGAGGGUGCUAGCGUUAAUCAGAAUUACUGGGCGUAAAGAGCACGUAGGUGGUUUUUUAAGUCAGAUGUGAAAUCCCUGGGCUUAACCUAGGAACUGCAUUUUGAAACUGAAAUACUAGAGUAUCGUAGAGGGAGGUAGAAUUCUAGGUGUAGCGGUGAAAUGCGUAGAUAUCUGGAGGAGUACCUGUGGCGAAAGCGGCCUCCUAAACGAAUACUGACACUGAGGUGCGAAAGCGUGGGGAGCAAACAGGGAUUAGAUACC
rnacentral:rRNA from 1 species